GAGGAAAGUGGGAGGCGUGCUUAACACAUGCAAGUCGAACGGAAAGGCCCUGCUUUUGUGGGGUGCUCGAGUGGCGAACGGGUGAGUAACACGUGAGUAACCUGCCCUUGACUUUGGGAUAACUUCAGGAAACUGGGGCUAAUACCGGAUAGGAGCUCCUGCUGCAUGGUGGGGGUUGGAACGUUUCGGCGGUUGGGGAUGGACUCGCGGCUUAUCAGCUUGUUGGUGGGGUAGUGGCUUACCCAGGCUUUGACGGGUAGCCGGCAUGAGAGGGUGACCGGCCACAUGGGGACUGAGAUACGGCCCAGACUCCUACGGGAGGCAGCAGUGGGGAAUAUUGCACAAUGGGCGGAAGCCUGAUGCAGCAACGCCGCGUGCGGGAUGACGGCCUUCGGGGUGUAAACCGCUUUCGCCUGUGACGAAGCGGGAGUGACGGUAAUGGGUAAAGAAGCACCGGCUAACUACGUG
rnacentral:rRNA from 1 species